UGUUGGCAGUAAGUAAGGGAGCGUUGACUGCCGAGUGUCACACCCAGAUUCCUAAGUGUCUGGGUGGGGGCUAACACGGAGUGUUCAAAGACACACGAACACGUCUCCCUCUCCUGCUUGGACUGCCCCCUCCCAUUUUUGAAUGGAGGAGGAACCGAACACGAUUGGAACAUUGUGCCCUGACUGUUGACUGCCAGGCACGCAGCUUGUGGGCCUCACCAGCAGGUGUAUCCAGUGUGUUCGAAGGGAAACUGAGGUCAUGCUGGAGCCUCAGUCUGAAUAGUUCUCAUUUGCAAUCGAUCAGCGUUGGUAUGGCUCAUCCCCAUUGACCUCUUCAACAGAAGAACACAGCGGUAAGGCAGCAUCUCUUCCAAAUCAACAACCUGACCUGUCCACCUGCUCGGUAUGUCUGCAAGAGGAAAUGCUUCCAUUUAUUUGCAUGGUUAAAUGCUGAACAGGUAUUGCACAGUGGGGUUUGGUUUGUUGGGCUCCUUUGCUUGGUUGCUGCUGCAGCCAGAACCAAGUCCAGAAGAGCAGUGAGAGUGAGAGUGGACCAAGGCAGUGGAGUUGUGGGCCAGAUGGACAAACUACAUGCUGAAGCUCACUAUGAAGCUGCCAAAAGGAGUGACCCCUGUCACAGUCACAUUCUUCAAUCCACUGAUAUUAUUCAAAACAAAUAGCUGCAUGUAAAGUGUAUGUAAAUAGUGUGUCCAAUUUAUCAUUGGAGGGAUUUGGAAACAUGUGUAUGUUACUGACUGGGGACCAUAUGAAUACAUAAAUGAAUAAACAAACACAGUUAUACAAGA